UACAGGGGGUGCAAACGUCGCUCGGAAUCAUUGGGCGUAAAGCGCGCGUAGGCGGUCAUUUAUGUCGGAUGUGAAAGCCCUUGGCUUAACUGAGGAAGAGCAUCCGAAACUGAAUGGCUUGAGUACCAAAGAGGGUCGCGGAAUUCCCGGUGUAGAGGUGAAAUUCGUAGAUAUCGGGAGGAACACCGGUGGCGAAGGCGGCGACCUGGGUGGAAACUGACGCUGAGGCGCGAAAGCGUGGGGAGCAAACAGG
rnacentral:rRNA from 1 species